UACGUAGGGUGCAAGCGUUGUCCGGAAUUAUUGGGCGUAAAGAGCUCGUAGGCGGUCUGUCGCGUCUGCUGUGAAAUCUCAGGGCUUAACCCUGAGCUUGCAGUGGGUACGGGCAGACUAGAGUGCGGUAGGGGAGACUGGAAUUCCGUGGUGUAGCGGUGAAAUGCGCAGAUAUCAGGAGGAACACCGGUGGCGAAAGCGGGUCUCUGGGCCGUAACUGACGCUGAGGAGCGAAAGCAUGGGGAGCGAACAGG
rnacentral:rRNA from 1 species